AAACCCGAUGAAGAAGCAAUCCCAAAAGAUAGGAAGUGCCGUAUGACACUUUACACAACAGCUAGCGUGACUGAAUUCGUUCUGUGUCUGCUGUGUGGUUGAUUUGACAAGGGUCCGCUGAGGGUUU